rnacentral:lncRNA from 1 species
AAAAAUGUUGGUGCAUUACUAGCCAAAAAUAAAUGUAUGUGCAUUAUUGACCACGGAAAAAAAGUAUGAACCCUAGAAGAAAAAAAAAAGUGUCGAUACUAUAAUAUUAUAUCCUAUCCAGUGAAAUUGCUUCUUCAUCUUCAUUACGGAAAUUUGAAUGCCUUCAUUUGUUUCUCUUUUGAGUGGUUGGUCUCCUCUUUCAAUAUCCAUGAAUUCUUGAAAAAAAAUUGUAUCUCCACAAAUGUAUCUUCCCGUUACUCAACUUCAUCUCUAUUGCAUAGUUUUCACAUCGACCAUGAGGGAGAAAGUGGACACCCAUCCUUCAGAAAUACACGAAUAAAAUGAUUGAGCAUUAAUCCAAGGUAGAUAUAUGAUAGAGAUGAAGUGGUGAUAGAGGAGUGUAGUAUAAGUAAGGUUUGUUAGAUAUAUGUGUGAAGAAUAUUUUCUUCUUAAACAUGGUUGAGUUUUGAUGAUAACAAACUCACAUCAUAAAAGAAGAAAAUCUAUGGAGGCACGAGAUGAAGAUUAUGAUUAAAGAUUAGUGUCUAGACUUCUUGGUUAUACUUUUUGUAAGUAUGACAUUUAUCAUUUUAUUUAUCAUUCUUAAAUUAUGGAACAACUUAAAAUGCUCAGAAAAUAAUUACAGACAUUUCUCUAAGUCCCUCAUAUGAAGCAAUGCCUAAAAAUUUCUUGAAAAGUGAUUUUGCAAGAAAAUAUUUUUUCGCUAGAAUAAAUAAUUGAUUAUGGACAUGAAAUCAUUAGUUAUGCCAAAUAAUAUUUGCUUCAAAAUGUUUCAAAAUAUAAUGCCAUAUUUGAUUUAAGGCAUAAUGGAUUAUGAGGCCAAAUCAUGUUGCAUAUCAUUUUUCUAAAUGCUUUAUCGUUAUUACAUAAUAUAAGGUGCAAUGGCUGGUUGAUUAAUUUGAGCAGCAACGGCUACCUUUUUAAUUUAACCAGCAACGGCUAUAUUUCUUUAAUUUGACAACGUUCUUUUUUAUUAAUUUGGCAGCAACUAUUUUCUUUUUUCAAAAGUAGCAUUGCUUCAUAAACAUCUUUUUAACCUCUAUAAAUUCAAUUGAGAAUCAAAGCAAUUUACACACAACAACUUUCAUUAUCUCAAUUGACAUUUUCAAUAUUAUUUGCUUUUAAACUUUCAUUCAAAUUGUUUGGAAAACUUUGCAUACACUUUAACAUUUAUUCAAAAGUUUUAUGAGCACUAAAUCCAUUUGUUAGAGUGAUAUUGAUAAAGAUAUACAACCAUAUAUUAGAUAUUGUUUGGUGUUUGUGUUGUAAUCAAGAGAGGUGGUUUCUUUCUUGCGGUUAUGUUAGAAAGAUUGUUAGGGGGUGAGAUUGCUUGUAACAAAGAUUCUAAUAUAGUGAAUUCCUUCGCGGGGUGUGAAGGGAGUGGACCGACCCUAAGGUUUAGAGGGGAACCACUAUAAACUCUCUUUUGUCUUUUUUCUUCCCUUACUCUUUUAUUGAAACACCCCCCCCCCCCCCCCCCCCCAGGUUACAAUAUGAUAACUCUGAAACAACUCGUAACUUGUGUUUGGAAGAGAACAACAAUUAACUAGUUCAAUAGCGAACGAUGUUAACCACCAUUAAAGGUAUUUUCAAAAGUUCAAGGUGUUUAUUAGCAAUCCUACGUACGUAAAGAGCAAUCUUCAUUUCAACUAUCACAUGUGGAGACCCAAAUAAGAUUUCAACACUAUGAGAUGGGUUUCCUUGAGAACCCUAUGACACGUCGAUAUUUGGAAAACAUGAACACC